AUUGAACGCUGGCGGCAGGCCUAACACAUGCAAGUCGAGCGGCAGCGGGAAAGUAGCUUGCUACUCUUGCCGGCGAGCGGCGGACGGGUGAGUAAUGCCUGGGGAUCUGCCCAGUCGAGGGGGAUAACUACUGGAAACGGUAGCUAAUACCGCAUACGCCCUACGGGGGAAAGCAGGGGACCUUCGGGCCUUGCGCGAUUGGAUGAACCCAGGUGGGAUUAGCUAGUUGGUGAGGUAAUGGCUCACCAAGGCGACGAUCCCUAGCUGGUCUGAGAGGAUGAUCAGCCACACUGGAACUGAGACUCGGUCCAGACUCCUACGGGAGGCAGCAGUGGGGAAUAUUGCACAAUGGGGGAAACCCUGAUGCAGCCAUGCCGCGUGUGUGAAGAAGGCCUUCGGGUUGUAAAGCACUUUCAGCGAGGAGGAAAGGUUGGUAGCUAAUAACUGCCAGCUGUGACGUUACUCGCAGAAGAAGCACCGGCUAACUCCGUGCCAGCCGCCGCGGUAACAC
rnacentral:rRNA from 1 species